AUUGAACGCUGGCGGCAGGCCUAACACAUGCAAGUCGAGCGGAGCGGCGGACGGGUGAGUAAUGCCUAGGAAUCUGCCUGGUAGUGGGGGAUAACGUCCGGAAACGGGCGCUAAUACCGCAUACUAUCAGAUGAGCCGAGGUCGGAUUAGCUAGUUGGUGGGGUAAAGGCCUACCACGGCGACGAUCCGUAACUGGUCGGAGAGGAUGAUAAGUCACACUGGAAUUGAGACACGGUCCAGUCUCCUACCGGAUGCAGCGUUGGGGAAUAUUGUACAAUUGGCGAAAGCCUAAUCCAACCAUGCCGCGUAUGUGAAGAAGGGCUUCGGAUUGUAAAGCACUUUAAGUUGGAAAGCGGUACCAACAGAAUAAGCACCGGCUAACUUCGUGCCAGCAGCCGCGGUAAUAC
rnacentral:rRNA from 1 species